UGGGGUAUAGCUCAGUGGUAGAGCACUUGCCUGGCAUAUGUAAGGCCCUGGGUUCAAUCCCCAACAUCUCAU
rnacentral:tRNA from 1 species